rnacentral:rRNA from 1 species
AUUGAACGCUGGCGGCAGGCCUAACACAUGCAAGUCGAACGAGUGGCGGACGGGUGAGUAAUGUCUGGGAAACUGCCCGAUGGAGGGGGAUAACUACUGGAAACGGUCGCUAAUACCGCAUACCAGCGGAUGUGCCCAGAUGGGAUUAGCUAGUAGGAGGGGUAAAGGCUCACCUAGGCCACGAUCCCUAGCUGGUCUGAGAGGAUGACCAGCCACACUGGAACUGAGACACGUGCCAGACUCCUACGGGAGGCAGCAGGGGGGAAUAGUGCACAAUGGGCACAAGCCUGUUGCAGCCAUGCCGCGUGUGUGAAGAAGGCCUUCGGGUUGUAAAGCACUUUCAGCGGGGAGGCGUUACCCGCAGAAGAAGCACCGGCUAACUCCGUGCCAGCAGCUGCGGUAAUAC